rnacentral:rRNA from 1 species
AACGAACGCUGGCGGCAGGCUUAACACAUGCAAGUCGAACGCGUGUAGCAAUACACGAGUGGCGCACGGGUGAGUAACGCGUGGAUAUCUGCCUUUUGGUUCGGAAUAACCCCGGGAAACUGGGGCUAAUACCGGAUGGUUCCUUCGGGAUAAAGAUUUAUCGCCAAAAGAUGAGUCCGCGUACGAUUAGCUAGUUGGUGAGGUAAUGGCUCACCAAGGCGACGAUCGUUAGCUGGUCUGAGAGGACGAUCAGCCACACUGGGACUGAGACACGGCCCAGACUCCUACGGGAGGCAGCAGUGGGGAAUAUUGGACAAUGGGGGCAACCCUGAUCCAGCCAUGCCGCGUGAGUGAUGAAGGCCUUCGGGUUGUAAAGCUCUUUUGGCGGGGACGAUGAUGACGGUACCCGCAGAAUAAGCCCCGGCUAACUUCGUGCCAGCAGCCGCGGUAAGACGAAGGGGGCUAGCGUUGUUCGGAAUUACUGGGCGUAAAGCGCGUGUAGGCGGUUUUCCAAGUUGGGUGUGAAAGCCUUGGGCUUAACCCAAGAAAUGCACUCAGUACUGGAAGACUAGAGGACCGGAGAGGAUAGUGGAAUUCCCAGUGUAGUGGUGAAAUAGGUAGAGAUUGGGAAGAACACCAGUGGCGAAGGCGGCUAUCUGGACGUUUC